GAUCAUGGCUCAGAUUGAACGCUGGCGGCAGGCCUAACACAUGCAAGUCGAACGGUAACAGGAAACAGCUUGCUGUUUCGCUGACGAGUGGCGGACGGGUGAGUAAUGUCUGGGAAACUGCCUGAUGGAGGGGGAUAACUACUGGAAACGGUAGCUAAUACCGCAUAACGUCGCAAGACCAAAGAGGGGGGACCUUCGGGCCGUCUUGCCAUCGGAUGUGCCCAGAUGGGAGUUAGCUAGUAGGUGGGGG
rnacentral:rRNA from 1 species